rnacentral:rRNA from 1 species
UGGGGAAUUUUGGACAAUGGGGGAAACCCUGAUCCAGCCAUCCCGCGUGUGCGAUGAAGGCCUUCGGGUUGUAAAGCACUUUUGGCAGGAAAGAAACGUCGCGGGUUAAUACCCCGCGAAACUGACGGUACCUGCAGAAUAAGCACCGGCUAACUACGUGCCAGCAGCCGCGGUAAUACGUAGGGUGCAAGCGUUAAUCGGAAUUACUGGGCGUAAAGCGUGCGCAGGCGGUUCGGAAAGAAAGAUGUGAAAUCCCAGAGCUUAACUUUGGAACUGCAUUUUUAACUACCGGGCUAGAGUGUGUCAGAGGGAGGUGGAAUUCCGCGUGUAGCAGUGAAAUGCGUAGAUAUGCGGAGGAACACCGAUGGCGAAGGCAGCCUCCUGGGAUAACACUGACGCUCAUGCACAGAAAGCGUGGGGAGCAAACAGGAUUAGAUACCCUGGGUAGUCCACGCCCUAAACGAUGUCAACUAGCUGUUGGGGCCUUCGGGCCUUGGUAGCGCAGCUAACGCGUGAAGUUGACCGCCUGGGGAGUACGGUCGCAAGAUUAAAACUUAAAUGAAUUGAC